CAUCAUGAAGUGUAUACCAGCUGAGUCUAUGAUGGCUGUUCAGACAUUGGUUAUUUGAUCGUCCAUAUACUGGGAAGACGUAUAAGUAGAGAUUUUUCAAGGAAUACUAGGUACUAUUCUGGGCAAAGACCAUGGAAACCAAUAGUCUGUCUCUCAACCUAACAACUGUUCUGAUUUGAUAAAUUGAUCUCUUAAUAUAAAUUUUAGUUGUGUUAAUACAUCAACUGACAUAUAUGCAAGCAGCUGCAGACUGAGUUUAUAAUUCUUAGGAAUAUUCACAUAAGUUAGCCAGUCUAAGUAAAAGGGGUGAUGGAACAGAAUAUACCGUAUAUUCUCAAGUAUAAGUCGACCUGAAUAUAAGUCGAGACCCCUAAUUUUACCCCCCAAAAAUGGGAAAACGUAUUGACUCGAG